rnacentral:misc_RNA from 1 species
CAAACACCCUCAGCUCGAGUAUUUUAUAGUACGAAGAGUUGGUCUUGGGCAGCGGAUGCCGGUGGUAAUUUCUCCACCUGCGCCCUCCCUAAACUUGCUGCACGACCGCAAGCCCCUUCUAGCCAGGUCAAUGGAGUGGUGUUACAAUCUUCCAAAAAGCCUGCUGGUAACCGCUUCGUGGCGUUAAACCCAGAUGUCCCCUCACAGGGACUGAAG